rnacentral:misc_RNA from 1 species
UGGCACCCGAUGGCCAAGGCAG